CAGUAUAAGCGCACUUAGUUGGGUAUGGGGAGGGUAGUUUGUACGCAGACCUUACCCCUACCCUUGGGUGUUUCCAAAUAGACCCCCGACAUCCUUCCCUCUAGGAACAUUCCACCUUGCUCUUGGGGAUACUCGAACUCACAAUCUCUCGGUUGGAAGUAGAAGUUGCUUACCAUCAGAGCAACCCCUCUUUUCCCAAGGGUACAACAACAAACCCCUCUU
rnacentral:lncRNA from 1 species